GGACCCUUAGCUCAGUUGGUUAGAGCAUCCGGCUCAUAACCGGACGGUCCUGGGUUCGAGUCCCCGAGGGUCCACUA
rnacentral:tRNA from 1 species